GAUGAACGCUGGCGGCGUGCCUAAUACAUGCAAGUCGAGCGAACAGACGAGGAGCUUGCUCCUCUGACGUUAGCGGCGGACGGGUGAGUAACACGUGGAUAACCUACCUAUAAGACUGGGAUAACUUCGGGAAACCGGAGCUAAUACCGGAUAAUAUAUUUAACCGCAUGGUUCAAUAGUGAAAGACGGUUUUGCUGUCACUUAUAGAUGGAUCCGCGCCGCAUUAGCUAGUUGGUAAGGUAACGGCUUACCAAGGCAACGAUGCGUAGCCGACCUGAGAGGGGGAGCGGCAACACUGGAACUGAGAAACGGAACAGACGCCUAAGGGAGGAAGCAGAAGGGAAUAUUCCGCAAUGGGCGAAAGCAUGACGGAGCAACGCCGCGUGAGUGAUGAAGGUCUUCGGAUCGUAAAACUCUGUUAUUAGGGAAGAAAAAAUGUGUAAGUAACUAUGCACGUCUUGACGGUAACUAAUCAGAAAGCCACGGCUAACUACGUG
rnacentral:rRNA from 1 species